UUAAUAAACUGUGACAUAUAUAUAUAUAUAUAUAUAUAUAUGUGUGUGUGUGUGUGUGUGUAUGUAUACACACACACACACACACACACA
rnacentral:miRNA from 1 species